CACCAGCUAUUUGGUGUUGGUGUUCAGGAGAAGAGCCUUCUAAUAAUAUUUAUUCAACUUAUAGAAUUAAAGUUCUGCUAGUUUUUUUCUGUAGGAAAUAAAUAUUGUAUAAAAUAUUUAAAAUUACCUACAUUUUUGAUGUUUACAAUGCCCAUUGUGUGUAAUACUGGAAUUUCCUACUACCCGUGAACGCCUCAUCUUUUACCUGACUGCCGGACAUCCGCCUUUCCGCACACUUCGUUGAGUCCGCUCUCGAGUGAAAUAAAGCUUGGUUUUGCCUGUGCUGAGUGAAACAGAACUUCGGUUUUGCCUUUGCUGGAUACUGAUUGGUCGUCGCAAGUCUGGUAAGUAAAGGUUUUGUCUGCGGUACAGUG